rnacentral:lncRNA from 1 species
UGCUCGUCUAGAUGCCAGAGGAGGCAGGUGUGAAUAGAGUGGGGGCGGGCAAGAUGCUAGACGGGGAAAAUGUUCAACAUAAAUAUGUUUACAAUUUUCUUACAAUGUGCUAUACUUCAAAGGAGAUGAGGCUUUCAGAGCAUCUGGGGUCUUCCCUUUGAGAGAGAGAACAGGCUUGGUUUUUGGAGCACUAUGGAUUAUACCCCUUCCACUUAAAUGGCCACUUUCCUUUCACUCAGAUUCAUCCCUCGUGAAGAUGGAGAAGACAAGUUCACGUCCUGGUUCUCAAGGCUUGUGAGUGGGCAUAGAUUUGCCAGAAAAAGCAAGUUAGGUGCCGUGCUAGGGGUGUGUGUGGUGAAGCCAGAGAAUACGCAGGAAGCUUGUGUCGACUUCGUGUUCAGCCUUCACUCUUCUCCUUGGGCCAAGCUCGUGAUGACUUUGUCUCUCCCUUUCUGGUCCUGGCGACGUUACCAUCUUUCAUCUCUCCGGUGUGCAGGCCCUGCUCUCCAGAAUAGAGCUGAGACCGUGGACACACAUGGGCCCCAGCGCGGGAGAUGCAGAGCCGCUGUGCUGGCUGAUGGGGGAGAUGCACAGUGUCUGAGGACUCGGAACCCAGCCCAGUGUGCAGAGGUUGACCCGACAAGUGCAGCCAAAAAAUCGGUGUGA